UGGGCACAGGGCAGGCAGGCCCACACAGUGAUGUCCCACCCUGCCCACACUUCCAGUCUUUUGGGAAACAUGCAUCUGGCAAGUGUGCUGAGUGUGAGAACAGGAGGUGCUGGCCCAGAGAGAAGGAACGGCAUCUCUCAGAAAGUGAUUUGCCUCACCCACUGGGCCAGAGGAUCCAGUUGUCCUGUCUCCUCAAAACUGUUUGUGUUACCGGCUUCUGGGCUCUCUCUUGCCUGAGAUAGGUGAUAAAAUCUUUACUCCUGCUUAGCUACGAGCCAGAGGGAAACAGGAGCACCCACCUCUUUCCUGUGCCAGCCGAUCUGCUCAGCCUCAUCCCCAUCAGGCCAUCUCCAGUCCUGUGGUUGAAAGGAGACAGGUGCCCAGCAGCCACCAGCAGAGACAGCAACACAUGAAAGGGCUCCCAGUGACUCCCUUAAACGCUGUCCAGUUUUUGCCCUCCCUGAAUUAGUGUUAGGAUUUCCCUUUAUCCUUGAUCCUAUCCUCUGGUGAAGAUGGCCUUUAUCUAUGGCCCCAUGCUUGUACUUGUUCGCCUAACCCACUUACUAGGGACAAGAAGUGCAAAGGCACAGUUUGGCCACUAGAGGGAAGCAGUGGCUAGGAUUUAUCUAAGGAAUUGUGAGUUGCUUAACAGCAAGCUGGCUCCAUAGAGAUUGAUGCUGUCCAGGUCAGAGACCUGCAGGCUAUGUGGGAACACAAGACACACCGCUGCAUAGAGUCUGUAUGAAACCCUCUACCUCUGGAUUCCAUCAGGAUUGAUGCAAUCCCCAGAUGCCGGCCCCGAGCCACACCUUUGUCCUGUGUAUUUGGGCAAGGAUGUCUACAUUUUCACAGCUCCCUCUCAUAGUCAAGAUCCUCCUCAACUGCACUCUCACCAGCCUCUUCCUCCUGCCAGUAGAGAGGCUUCUUUGGGCUCUGAGACCUACAGGGGAUCCUUCCUAGACAGCCCCUUAGCUCCUUUCAGCUAUAUCUAUGAUUGGGAGCUUUUGACUCUAGGACCAUCCCCUACAGCCAAGGUAGGAGAAUUCCAGAGAAGGAGCCUUCUGAUUUUACGCCCUCCCAUCCACAACUUCCACACCAUCACUCUUCUUUCUAUAUUGAACCCUGUCUCAGUCUAUUUCUAUAAGUGAAGCCAUUGUUUAAAUCACCACUGCCUUUCAGUGGCUAUGCACUUUGACAAGAUAACAAAGAGUUGUCAAUGAAAAGCACAAUAAUAGUGGUUAUCUUGUUUGGAACAUGGCAUUAAAUCUUCAAUAUCUCAGGAUGAGUUUCAUUCAUUUUAAAUGGGAUUAGUAGCUGAUGCAUGCUCUCUGCUUGGCUACCUCCUCUUUCCCAGGUUAACCUGGGAUUUUAUGGUUGCUUUUUCCAUUUACACGGAACUCUUUACAAAUUAGAACAAAUAAAUAAAAUAAUAAAAUAAAAUAAAAUAAAGGAAAAUGGAACAGAGAGACUAUUUAGGACUAUUUAGGACACAGGAGAGUUUUCCUGUGUGUGUGGUCUGUGCCUUUUCAAUCAUAAGGGAUCACCUUUCUCAGCUCAGAUGUGGGCGGGGCUGUAUGUGGGGCCUGAGCUGAGAGAUCUCCGAGUACAGACAGUUGCCAUUGUUUGCAGUGUUCUGGACUCUAGGACAUCCAAGUAGCUCUGCCGGGGUGGAAGGAAGGUAUGUGAGGCACACAGUCUCAGCCAGAAUCCCACACCUGCUUUCAUGGUGACAGCUGAGCAGAGACAAAUGACACAUCUAUGAUCGAGAUGGGAUAGUCCCUGCAACAGGUGAAAUCCAACCUCCUGCCCUGGCCUCUGCUAGGAACUGCUUUUCUUCUGGCAAAGGGCAGGAAGCAGAGGUCCUUACCCACUGUGCUUCCAGAACAUACCCUUGUCUGUGUGAGGUUCCCACACUUCCACACAGCUGCUGCUACCAGCUCUGAGGUGGACUUAAAAAAAAAAUCUCAGCACAUGUAGUUUGAGAAAAGAAAAGUCACCUCACACAUCAGGGCACUGGAAAGGUACAGCAAGAAAUUCAUGAUUCAGUCCCUCAGCAUAAACCCACUGUAUUACCUCUGCCAUCAAUGCCAUUGAAUCUCCCAGGGCCUCUCUGACCUCAGACUCACUAGCAAAGGAGGAAGGACAUAUGAGACCCCAGUGUUUGCAGUCUUCCC